CCUACGGGAGGCAGCAGUGAGGAAUAUUGGUCAAUGGGCGUACGCCUGAACCAGCCAAGUCGCGUGAGGGAAGACUGCCCUAUGGGUUGUAAACCUCUUUUGUCAGGGAGCAACGCCGGCUACGUGUAGCCGGACGGAGAGGACCUGAAGAAAAAGCAGCGGCUAACUCCGUGCCAGCAGCCGCGGUAAUACGGAGGAUGCGUGCGUUAUCCGGAUUGAUUGGGUUUAAAGGGGGCGUAGGCGGAAUGCCAAGUCAGCGGGAAACUCGCGGGGCUCAACCGCGCUCCGCCGUUGAAACUGGCGUUCUUGCGUGGGCUAGACGUCUGCGGCAUGCGUGGUGUAGCGGU
rnacentral:rRNA from 1 species